CUACUCCUCGGGACAUCAGUCACCAUCCCUGUGGCCUGCUGUCCCUGGCUUAGCCCUGCCUGCUUCCACUCAUUCUGACAUCAGGGUGCAGCAGAGAGAGAUGGCAGGGGGUGGGGGAGCAGCUUCUGCCAUCUGGGAACUCCACAGAGGUCAGAAGUCACUGUGAAAUGGGCUGGAGGCUGUCAUGAGACUGUCCUUCUCGCUGAGGCCAUGCGUAAGACCCCUCCUGUCGGAUAGGGAGCCUCGAGAUCUCUUCUGCCUCAUGGACUCUAACCGCAUCUCUCUGACGUUAUGCUUUUCUAUUAACAAUACAUUGAGGCUACUUCUGUUCCUGCCCAGAGGCACGAGCAUGUGUCCUCAAACCCAACGACUGAUGUCCUCUAUGGCUACUCCAGGCUCUGUGGUCAGAUGCUGCCCAAAUCCCUGCCCCCGCCUCUCAGUUGCCCUGGUACCACCCUCCUCAGUGUCUGAAGGACAGGAUACAUCCUACUCAGUCAGAAUGCAUAGAGGUACCACGGUGUUUUGGGAUGCAGUCCUCCAGAGCAAAGCAGCGGCCAUUCUCCACAGGUGUCUGCGCCUGCGUGCAAGCAACCAUCUCUGUAGGGUCUGUUGACUAAGGAUGCUUCCUCAUAGAAGAAGCGGGUUGAGAAGCUCUUUCGAUGCUCACCUGAAGUUCCAGCUACUUGGCCC
rnacentral:lncRNA from 1 species